UACGUAGGGGGCUAGCGUUGUCCGGAUUUAUUGGGCGUAAAGAGCGUGUAGGCGGCCAGGUAGGUCUGCUGUGAAAACUCGAGGCUCAACCUCCAGCUGUCGACGGAAACCGUGUGGCUAGAGUCCGGAAGAGGAGAGUGGAAUUCCUGGUGUAGCGGUGAAAUGCGCAGAUAUCAGGAAGAACACCCGUGGCUAAGGCGGCUCUCUAGUACGGUACUGACGCUGAGACGCGAAAGCGUGGGGAGCGAACAGG
rnacentral:rRNA from 1 species